UACAGAGAGUGCAAACGUUGUUCGGAAUUACUGGGCUUGAAGCGCACGUAGGCGGCGUUGUAAGUGUCGGGUGAAAUCCCACGGCUCACCCGUGGAACUGCCCGGCAUACUGCGAUGCUAGAGUGUGGUAGGGGAGAGCGGAACUCCUGGUGGAGCGGUGAAAUGCGUAGAGAUCGGAAGGAACGUCGAUGGCGAAGGCAGUCACCUGGCAUCAUACUGACGCUGAGGCGCGAAAGCGUGGGGAGCAAACAGG
rnacentral:rRNA from 1 species